rnacentral:rRNA from 1 species
GCAAGUCGAACGCGAAAAUUUUUCUUCGGAGAAAAGAGUAGAGUGGCGCACGGGUGAGUAACGCGUAAGUUAUCUACCCCUCCAUCUGGAAUAACUCACCGAAAGGUGUGCUAAUACCGGAUACGUUGGAAACAAGAAAGGUGGCCUCUUCUAUGCUACCGUGGAGGGAUGAGCUUGCGUACCAUUAGCUUGUUGGUAGGGUAAUGGCCUACCAAGGCGACGAUGGUUAGCGGGUCUGAGAGGAUGAUC